rnacentral:rRNA from 1 species
AUUGAACGCUGGCGGCAUGCCUUACACAUGCAAGUCGAACGGUAACAGGUCUUCGGAUGCUGACGAGUGGCGAACGGGUGAGUAAUACAUCGGAACGUGCCUAGUAGUGGGGGAUAACCACUCGAAAGAGUGGCUAAUACCGCAUGAGAUCUACGGAUGAAAGUAGGGGAUCGCAAGACCUUGUGCUACUAGAGCGGCCGAUGGCAGAUUAGGUAGUUGGUGGGAUAAAAGCUUACCAAGCCGACGAUCUGUAGCUGGUCUGAGAGGACGAUCAGCCACACUGGGACUGAGACACGGCCCAGACUCCUACGGGAGGCAGCAGUGGGGAAUUUUGGACAAUGGGCGCAAGCCUGAUUCAGCAAUGCCGCGUGCAGGAUGAAGGCCUUCGGGUUGUAAACUGCUUUUGUACGGAACGAAAAGCCCUGGGUUAAUACCCUGGGGUCAUGACGGUACCGUAAGAAUAAGCACCGGCUAACUACGUGCCAGCCGCCGCCGUAA